AUGAACGCUGGCGGCGUGCCUAAUACAUGCAAGUCGAGCGAACGGACGAGAAGCUUGCUUUUCUGAUGUUAGCGGCGGCCGGGUGAGUAACACGUGGAUAACCUACCUAUAAGACUGGGAUAACUUCGGGAAACCGGAGCUAAUACCGGAUAAUAUUUUGAACCGCAUGGUUCAAAAGUGAAAGACGGUCUUGCUGUCACUUAUAGAUGGAUCCGCGCUGCAUUAGCUAGUUGGUAAGGUAACGGCUUACCAAGGCAACGAUGCAUAGCCGACCUGAGAGGGUGAUCGGCCACACUGGAACUGAGACACGGUCCAGACUCCUACGGGAGGCAGCAGUAGGGAAUCUUCCGCAAUGGGCGAAAGCCUGACGGAGCAACGCCGCGUGAGUGAUGAAGGUCUUCGGAUCGUAAAACUCUGUUAUUAGGGAAGAACAUAUGUGUAAGUAACUGUGCACAUCUUGACGGUACCUAAUCAGAAAGCCACGGCUAACUACGUG
rnacentral:rRNA from 1 species